GACAGAGGUGCCAAGCGUUAGGCGGAAUUACUGGGCGUAAAGCGCAUGUAGGCGGCCACGCAGGUCGGAUGUGAAAUCCCUCGGCUCAACCAAGGAAGUGCAUUCGAAACCGCAUGGCUCGAGUCCCGGAGAGGAAGGUGGAAUUCUCGGUGUAGAGGUGAAAUUCGUAGAUAUCGAGAGGAACACCGGUGGCGAAAGCGGCCUUCUGGACGAGGACUGACGCUGAGAUGCGAAAGCGUGGGGAGCAAACAGG
rnacentral:rRNA from 1 species